GAGGUACUCCCUCCGUUCAGAAUUACUUGUCACAAAAAUGGAUGUAUCUACAACUAAAAGACAUCUAGAUACAUUCAUUUCUUGGACGAGUAAUUCCGAACGGAGGGAGUAUGUU
rfam:Triticum aestivum genome assembly, contig: Triticum_aestivum_CS42_TGACv1_scaffold_000006_1AL